AAGUCGUAACAAGGUUUCCGUAGGUGAACCUGCGGAAGGAUCAUUAUCAUAACGUAUCCACGUAUAAACUAACUCUUUGAUGUGAAACGUAACUGUUUAACACCUCAUGCGUAAUCAAAUGAUUGCUGUAUUACAACGUUUUUUUUUUUGCGUGAUUAAAGCAAAAAACACCGUAAUAUGGACCUGGCUUUCGGGCCUAGCUUUGGUUAUAUAUAUGAGUGUAAAUCAAUUUAAUCUUAUUAACCAAUUGAACCGAUUAACUAUUCGUAGUUAUUCAUUCUAAUUCUAUUGUGUGAACUGAAUUGUCAUUUACGCAUUUCUGUAAAAGGAAAAAGCGAAGUGAUUCUAUUUACGAAACAUUAUAAAUUUCUAUGAACAACUCUUAGCAACGGAUAUCUUGGUUCUC
rnacentral:misc_RNA from 1 species